CCUACGGGCGGCAGCAGUGGGGAAUAUUGCACAAUGGGGGAAACCCUGAUGCAGCGACGCCGCGUGAAGGAAGAAGUAUUUCGGUAUGUAAACUUCUAUCAGCAGGGAAGAAACUGACGGUACCUGACUAAGAAGCACCGGCUAAAUACGUGCCAGCAGCCGCGGUAAUACGUAUGGUGCAAGCGUUAUCCGGAUUUACUGGGUGUAAAGGGAGCGUAGACGGAGAGGCAAGUCUGAAGUGAAAGCCCGGGGCUCAACCCCGGGACUGCUUUGGAAACUGCAGUUCUAGAGUGCCGGAGAGGUAAGCGGAAUUCCUAGUGUAGCGGUGAAAUGCGUAGAUAUUAGGAGGAACACCAGUGGCGAAGGCGGCUUACUGGACGGUGACUGACGUUGAGGCUCGAAAGCGUGGGGAGCAAACAGGAUUAGAUACCCCUGUAGUC
rnacentral:rRNA from 1 species